rnacentral:rRNA from 1 species
UGGGGGAUAUUGCACAAUGGGGGGAACCCUGAUGCAGCGACGCCGCGUGAGUGAAGGAGCACCUCGGUGCGUAAAGCUCUAUCGGCAGGGAAGAAAUACUGACCUUACGGUCAGCGGACGGUACCUGACUAAGAAGCCCCGGCUAACUACGUGCCAGCAGCCGCGGUAAUACGUAGGGGGCGAGCGUUAUCCGGAUUCACUGGGUGUAAAGGGAGCGCAGACGGCAUCGCAAGCCUGGAGUGAAAUCCCGCGGCCCAACCGCGGGACUGCUCUGGGAACUGCGGGGCUGGAGUGCAGGAGAGGUGGGCGGAAUUCCUGGUGUAGCGGUGAAAUGCGUAGAUAUCAGGAGGAACACCGGUGGCGAAGGCGGCCCACUGGACUGCGACUGACGUUGAGGCUCGAGAGCGUGGGGAGCGAACAGG